rnacentral:rRNA from 1 species
GACGAACGCUGGCGGCGUGCUUAACACAUGCAAGUCGAACGGAAAGGCCCUGCUUGCAGUGUACUCGAGUGGCGAGCGGGUGAGUAACACGUGGGUGAUCUGCCUUGCACUUCGGGAUAAGCCUGGGAAACUGGCUCUAAUACCGGAUAGGAGCCAUUUGUAGUGUGAUGGUUGGAAAGUUUUGUCGGUGUAGGAUGAGCUCGCGGCCUAUCAGCUUGUUGGUGGGGUAAUGGCCUACCAAGGCGGCGACGGGUAGCCGGCCUGAGAGGGUGGACGGCCACAAUGGGACUGGGAUACGGCCCAGACUCCUACGGGAGGCAACAGUGGGGAAUAUUGCACAAAGGGGGCAAGCCCGAUGCAACGACGCCGCGGGGGGGAAGACCGGCUUCGGGUUGUAAACGCCUUUCGCUAGGGACGAAGCUUAUUGUGACGGUACCUAGAGAAGAAGCACCGGCUAACUACGUG